rnacentral:pre_miRNA from 1 species
CCCACACCCAUGUGAGUAGGACCCCCAAAGGAUCACCAUUAAAUUUGGCACAGAUUUUUAGAAAAGUUAUCACAUGGGUGUGACUUGACUUUUCUAGAGAUCUGCGCCAUAUUUGAUGGUGAUCAUUUGGGGUCCUACUCAUAUGAGUGUGGG